GCAAAUCCGCUUUGAUAAUGCUGGGAUGUGAUGGGGAGCGAAAUUUAGUAGCGAAGUAGCUGAUUUCACACUGUCAAGAAAAGUCUCUAUCGAGGUUAAAGGUACCCGUACCGCAAACCGACACAGGUGGGUGAGGAGAGUAUCCUAAGGCCAGCGAGAGAACUGUUGUUAAGGAACUCGGCAAAAUGACCCCGUAACUGAGGGAUAAGGGGUGCCACCAUCAGGUGGCCGCAGAGAAUAGGCCCAAGCGACUGUUUACCAAAAACAUAGGUUUCUGCUAAGUCGCAAGACGAUGUAUAGGAGCUGACGCCUGCCCGGUGCUGGAAGGUUAAGGGGAUCUGUUAGAGCAAUCGAAGCAGUGAACUUAAGCCCCAGUAAACGGCGGCCGUAACUAUAACGGUCCUAAGGUAGCGAAAUUCCUUGUCGGGUAAGUUCCGACCCGCACGAAAGGCGUAACGAUUUGGGCACUGUCUCAACAACAGACUCGGUGAAAUUGUAAUUCCGGUGAUGAUGCCGGGUGCCGGCGACAGGACGGAAAGAGCCCAUGGAGCUUUACUGUAGCCUGACAUUGGGUCUUGGUACUACAUGUACAGGAUAGGUGGGAGGCUUUGAAACCAGGACGCCAGUUUUGGCGGAGCCAUCCUUGGGAUACCACCCCUGUAGUACUGGGACUCUAACCAUAG
rnacentral:rRNA from 1 species